rnacentral:lncRNA from 1 species
UGUCUGCAGAUGGAACAACUAGAUUGAGGAACGAAGUCAAACGUCAUGUGUGAAUCACUGUGGAAGAGAUCUCCUUUUUAUGUUUCUCUAAACUUAUGGAGCUUUUGUCCGGAUCUCAACCUUAGCAUCUGUUUUCAAAUAUUCGAUGUUUUGUUUCUACGAGAGAGCAUCAACCUUAGCUAAAGGUUAAACAGUUUCCAAACAUUUUGCUAGCUCCGUAUAACCAUGGCUUUAAUUACGAGCUUCGUUUCCUAGGUUAUCUUAAAAACACAGUCGUUUUCGGUAGAAAAAAGGAACAUUAGAUCGGAAUUUCACGAGAGGAACAUUCUCUCUCGGCUCCGGAAACGCAUCCGAUCUCUCUCUGUCUCUCUCCCUCUCCGGUAAGUUCCUCUGUUUCUUCUCGUCUUCGAAUACUCUCCGAUUACUUGUUAGAGUUAUGUUCCAGUCGUCAUCGGCAGUUUCCAUUGUUCACUCGCAGUUGCAUCGACCAAUCUCAUUCAUAAACCUACCAAAGAAACAACCUCUCAUUAUCCAGCAUGUUCAAAAAGUAAGAAUCUCUCUUCCGUCAAUUCAUAUUCGACUAACCUUUUUUUUUUAUCUUUUGAUGAGGACAAUAGCUUUGUGAGUAAUGUAAUUAGUAUCUUUAAUUUAGGUUUUCAUUGGAGGAGAUUUCAUCACAGAACCAAGUAAAGGCAUCUGUUCAACGCAGGAUUCGCCAGAGUAUUCAAGAGGAGGUAUCCUUGUUGUUUUAUCCCAUCUUAAAACUUGUUGAGAUUACGUGUAGCUUGUUGGAUGUGUAAACUUGUUAAAUGUAAUGUUGCAGUACCCGGGGCUUGAGACAGUGUUGGAGGAUCUACUUCCCAAAAAGUCUCCUCUCAUUGUAGUGAAGUGGUUCGUAAUUCGUAAACUAACAAACUUCAUAUUGAUCAGUGCUAUGUUUUCCCAACAUUCUUUCGCCACUGACUAUGUUUUUUCUCGUGUGCAGCCCAAACCAUCUGACCCUAGUUGUUGUCAACAAUGUCCCUCUCUUCUUCUGUAUCCGUGAUGGGCCAUACAUGCCUACUCUGCGUCUUCUUCAUCAAUGUAAGCUCAACUCUUUGCCUCGGCAUUGGCUGUUACCGGAAGAUUAAGCCAUGUUCUUGGAGUUUUUUGCAGACCCAAGUAUAAUGAAGAGGUUUCAAGUUGAUAGAGGUGCCAUAAAGUUUGUUUUCUCUGGUGCAAACAUAAUGUGUCCUGGUCUUACAUCCCCUGGGGGAGUUCUGGAUGAAGAAGUUGAGGCUGAAAGGCCAGUGGUAUGAACAUAAAUAAAAAUAAACUCUUUCUCUGGGGUGAUUUGUUUCUGGUUGAUCUUAAACCAUGAGUUUGUAUUUGUUUUAGGCUAUAUAUGCAGAAGGAAAGCAACAUGCCUUAGCAAUUGGCUUCACCAAAAUGUCAGCCAAAGACAUGUAAGUUAAAUUUCCUUCUCACUCAGUGCCAUACUCAGAUCACAGCUGGAAUGUAGGAAUCAUGAUUUGAUCUCUGUUGAUGCUAGUUUAGUAGUAUUGUUUUCUGACUCGGUCUAUUCUGUGUUGUGACAUUUCGUUUCUGGUUUACUUGUGUGUUUGUUGACAGUAAGAGCAUCAACAAAGGAAUCGGAGUUGACAACAUGCAUUACCUCAACGACGGUCUCUGGAAGGUACUUACUCCCUCCUGCAUCGAGUCGAUUAAAGGAUUUAUGGAGUUAAAAGUUUAUAAAACUUGUAUUGCAUGUUUGUCUGCAGAUGGAACAACUAGAUUGAGGAACGAAGUCAAACGUCAUGUGUGAAUCACUGUGGAAGAGAUCUCCUUUUUAUGUUUCUCUAAACUUAUGGAGCUUUUGUCCGGAUCUCAACCUUAGCAUCUGUUUUCAAAUAUUCGAUGUUUUGUUUCUACGAGAGAGCAUCAACCUUAGCUAAAGGUUAAACAGUUUCCAAACAUUUUGCUAGCUCCGUAUAACCAUGGCUUUAAUUACGCCUUU